CCUACGGGAGGCAGCAGUGGGGAAUAUUGCACAAUGGGGGAAACCCUGAUGCAGCGACGCCGCGUGAGUGAAGAAGUAUUUCGGGAUGGAAAGCUGUAUCAGCAGGGAAGAAAAUCACGGUACCUGAUUAAGAAGCCCCGGCUAACUACGUGCCAGCAGCCGCGGUAACACGUAGGGGGCAAGCGUUAUCCGGAUUUACUGGGUGUAAAGGGGGCGUAGACGGCAGCACAAGUCUGGAGUGAAAUGCCGGGGCUUAACCCCGGAAUUGCUUUGGAAACUGUGCAGCUAGAGUGCAGGGAAGGUAAGCGGAAUUCGUAGUGUAGCGGUGAAAUGCGUAGAUAUGACGAAGAACCCCAGUGGCGAAGGCGGCUUACUGCACUGUAACUGACGUUGAGGCUCGAAAGCGUGGGUAGCAAACAGGAUUAGAUACCCUUGUAGUC
rnacentral:rRNA from 1 species